rnacentral:rRNA from 1 species
CGAAAGCCUGACGGAGCAACGCCGCGUGAGGGAGGAAGGCUCUUGGGUUGUAAACCUCUUUUAUCAAGGAAGAUAAUGACGGUACUUGAUGAAUCAGCAUCGGCUAACUCCGUGCCAGCAGCCGCGGUAAUACGGAGGAUGCAAGCGUUAUCCGGAAUAAUUGGGCGUAAAGCGUUCGUAGGUGGUUAUGUAAGUCUGCUGUUAAAGCGUGUAGCUUAACUACAUAUAGGCAGUGGAAACUACAAGACUAGAGUGCGUUCGGGGCAGAGGGAAUUCCUGGUGUAGCGGUGAAAUGCGUAGAUAUCAGGAAGAACACCGGUGGCGAAGGCGCUCUGCUAGGCCGCAACUGACACUGAGGGACGAAAGCUAG